rnacentral:rRNA from 1 species
GAGUUGAUUCUGGCUCAGAUUGAACGCUGGCGGCAUGCUUUACACAUGCAAGUCGGACGGCAGCACAGAGAAGCUUGCUUCUUGGGUGGCGAGUGGCGAACGGGUGAGUAACGCAUCGGAACGUACCGAGUAGUGGGGGAUAACUGUCCGAAAGGAUGGCUAAUACCGCAUACGCUUUGAGAAGGAAAGCGGGGGAUCUUCGGACCUCGCGCUAUUCGAGCGGCCGAUGUCUGAUUAGCUAGUUGGUGGGGUAAAGGCCUACCAAGGCGACGAUCAGUAGCGGGUCUGAGAGGAUGAUCCGCCACACUGGGACUGAGACACGGCCCAGACUCCUACGGGAGGCAGCAGUGGGGAAUUUUGGACAAUGGGCGCAAGCCUGAUCCAGCCAUGCCGCGUGUCUGAAGAAGGCCUUCGGGUUGUAAAGGACUUUUGUCAGGGAAGAAAAGCUUUGGGUUAAUACCCUGGAGUGA